AGAACGAACGUUGGCGGCGUGGAUGAGGCAUGCAAGUCGAACGUGAAAGCCGCAAGGUGAGUAGCGUGGCGGACGGGCGAGUAACACGUAAUCAAGCUGCCUGCGAGACGGGGAUAACCUCGGGAAACCGAGGCUAAGACCCGAUGGUCUGCCGGGGACGCAUGUUCCUGGUAGUAAAUGGGCGGGAUCCUUCGGGAUCGCCUGCUCGCAGAGGUGAUUGCGGCCCAUCAGCUAGUUGGUAGGGUAAUGGCCUACCAAGGCAACGACGGGUAGCCGGCCUUAGAGGGUGGUCGGCCGCACUGGGACUGAGACACUGCCCAGACUCCUACGGGAGGCUGCAGUCGAGAAUCUUCCGCAAUGGGCGAAAGCCUGACGGAGCGACGCCGCGUGGAGGACGAAGGCCUUCGGGUUGUAAACCGCUUUUGUCAGGGAAGAAACGCUCUGGGCUAAUACCCCGGGGUAAUGACGGUACCUGAAGAAUAAGCACCUGCUAACCACGUGCCAGCAGCCGCGGUAAGACGUGGGGUGCAAGCGUUGUCCGGAGUGACUGGGCGUAAAGGGCGUGUAGGUGGUGUGGUAAGUCUCUUUUGAAAUCCCAUGGCUCAACCAUGGUUUGGGAGGAGAAACUAUCACGCUAGACGGCACAAGGGGCUGACAGAAUUCCCGGUGAAGGGGUUAAAUCCGUUGAUAUCGGGAGGAAUACCAGUGGCGAAGGCGGUCAGCUAGUGUGCUCGUGACACUGAGGCGCGAAAGUCUGGGUAGCGAAAGGGAUUAGAUACCCCUGUAGUCCAGACUGUAAACGAUGCAUUCUAGGUAUUGGGAGUAUCGACCCUCCCUGUACCGUAGCUAACGCGUUAAGAAUG
rnacentral:rRNA from 1 species